rnacentral:ncRNA from 1 species
CUAGCAUUUGUGCAAGUUCUCAGGUGUCAAACCUCUGUGCGCAAUGAAGGUGACUGCUGGGAUUUUUUGCACCAGCAACCGACCAAUCAAUUGGGAGAAAUUUGAGUAAGAGCAUAUGUAUUAGGACCCGAAAAAUGGUGAACUAUACCUACGAAGGGCAAAGUCAAGAGAAACUCUAAUGGAGACUCGUAGCGGUACUAACGUACAAAUCGUUCGUCAUACGUGGGUAUAGGGGCGAAAAACUAAUCGAACCAUCUAGUAGCUAG